ACGCUGGCGGCAUGCUUUACACAUGCAAGUCGAACGGCAGCACAGAGAAGCUUGCUUCUUGGGUGGCGAGUGGCGAACGGGUGAGUAACAUAUCGGAACGUACCGAGUAAUGGGGGAUAACUAAUCGAAAGAUUAGCUAAUACCGCAUAUUCUCUGAGGAGGAAAGCAGGGGACCUUCGGGCCUUGCGUUAUUCGAGCGGCCGAUAUCUGAUUAGCUAGUUGGUGGGGUAAAGGCCUACCAAGGCGACGAUCAGUAGCGGGUCUGAGAGGAUGAUCCGCCACACUGGGACUGAGACACGGCCCAGACUCCUACGGGAGGCAGCAGUGGGGAAUUUUGGACAAUGGGCGCAAGCCUGAUCCAGCCAUGCCGCGUGUCUGAAGAAGGCCUUCGGGUUGUAAAGGACUUUUGUCAGGGAAGAAAAGGCUGUUGCUAAUACCGACAGUUGGUGACGGUACCUGAAGAAUAAGCACCGGCUAACUACGUGCCAGCAGCCGCGGUAAUACGUAGGGUGCGAGCGUUAAUCGGAAUUACUGGGCGUAAAGCGAGCGCAGACGGUUACUUAAGCAGGAUGUGAAAUCCCCGGGCUCAACCUGGGAACUGCGUUCUGAACUGGGUGACUAGAGUGUGUCAGAGGGAGGUAGAAUUCCACGUGUAGCAGUGAAAUGCGUAGAGAUGUGGAGGAAUACCGGUGGCGAAGGCAGCCUCCUGGGAUAACACUGACGUUCAUGCUCCAAAGCGUGGGUAGCAAACAGGAUUAGAUACCCUGGUAGUCCACGCCCUAAACGAUGUCAAUUAGCUGUUGGGCAACUUGAUUGCUUAGUAGCGUAGCUAACGCGUGAAAUUGACCGCCUGGGGAGUACGGUCGCAAGAUUAAAACUCAAAGGAAUUGACGGGGACCCGCACAAGCGGUGGAUGAUGU
rnacentral:rRNA from 1 species